GUCUUUAUGAUUUAUUAUAUAAGGUUUGGCCUGCCCUAUGUUUUUAUUAAUGGCCGCAGUAUAUUGACUGUGCUAAGGUAGCAUAAUAAAUAGGUUAUUAAUUGUAAUCUAGAAUGAAAGGUUUGACGUGAUAAUGACUGUUUCUUUUAUAUAAUUGAAUUUAAAUUAUUAGUAAAAAUGCUAAUAUUAAAUAAAAAGACGAUAAGACCCUAUUAAGUUUGACAUUUAUGGUUAUUUUUUUUGUUAUUUAAUUAUUUAUUAAUGUUUGAUUGGGGCGAUUGAUAAUACGAAGCAUUAUUAUUAUUAUUUUUUUAUAAAAAUUGGUGAACCAUAAAUUAUGGUUAUUAGAGCAAAUUACUAUAGGGAUAACAGCGUUAUUAUAUUGUGGAGUUCAUAUCGAUAAUAUAGAUUGCGACCUCGAUGUUGGAUUAGGAAUUCUUAUAGGCGCAGGGGCUUAUUCAAGAAGGUCUGUUCGACCUUUAAUUUCCUACAUGAUCUGAGU
rnacentral:rRNA from 1 species